ACGGAAGGCAGCAGUGGGGAAUAUUGGUCAAUGGGGGAAACCCUGAACCAGCGACGCCGCGUGAGUGAAGAAGUAUUUCGGUAUGUAAAGCUCUAUCAGUAGGGAAGAUAAUGACAGUACCUGACUAAGAAGCACCGGCUAAAUACGUGCCAGCAGCCGCGGUAAUACGUAUGGUGCGAGCGUUAUCCGGAUUUACUGGGUGUAAAGGGAGCGUAGGCGGUUUGGCAAGUCUGAUGUGAAACCCCGGGGCUUAACCCCGGGCAUGCAUUGGAAACUGUCGAACUAGAGUGUCGGAGAGGAAAGCGGAAUUCCUAGUGUAGCGGUGAAAUGCGUAGAUAUUAGGAGGAACAUCGGUGGCGAAGGCGGCUUACUGGGCUUUUACUGACGCUGAGGCUCGAAAGCGUGGGGAGCAAACAGGAUUAGAUACCCUGGUA
rnacentral:rRNA from 1 species